rnacentral:lncRNA from 1 species
GCCUUCUUGGCCUCCUUGGUCAUCUUCAUGGCCUCCUUUUCAUCCUUAAGACCUUCCUCCAUGAUCUUCUUAUUCUCGUAAAAACAUGCCAUGUGCUCAUGCAGCAGCCUGAAGUACAUGAUGGACUGCAGAAAGAACAAAAAGGAUGGACUAUGUUUAGAUCAACUAAAAGUUGAGUGAGAAAGAGAAUAGAAGAAAAAAUAUAUGGCUAGAUCGAUGAAAAAUCGAUAUAAAAAAAAAGAGAGAAGAAAAAUGACCACUUAUGUCCAUAAUGCUGGUGAAC